AAAAGAACGGGAUAAGAUUUCUAGAGGUCAAUAUUACUGAUUUGAUAAUGUGAACCAUGAAGGGUCAAUGUCUUCUCUCGAAAACAUAUUCACUCAUGGCAGUAUGGCUGAGAUUUUGGUGGUGAGCUCACUUGCGAGGUUGGUGGAUGUGCUGUUUGACAUGUUGAGGGUGAGGAAGCUUUUCCACUGAAGGAUGUGGUUUCUGAUGAGCCACCUGAGCUGCUGCUGGAGGGAAGUCCUUGUCACCCCUUGCUAUGACACCAGAGAUGAACACUGUUGGUUUAGGUGGGCUGCUGGUUUCCCAGUCUUGAUCAUCCUUAUCUUUUUCUUCUUUGGUAUCAGAACUGUGUGGGUGUUUCUGCACAAUCCGCAUCCCACCCGCUUUAACAGCAGGAGGGUGUCCAGCCCGAGUCUCGGCUUUCUCUUUGGGAGGCGAAGACAUGUUUACCCUGACAGCGCCCGCACUAGCGCGCCCACACCCCACUCCCGCCGCCAGCACCGCCUGCCGCCCGCCCUGUCAACGUGGCCGCCCGCCGCCGCCUCCAGGACGCGCCCAGAGAGGGUGGGGGCGGCCGCGGGUCCGCCCU
rnacentral:lncRNA from 1 species